GGUGUCCCAAUAGCCAGUUGCCAUAUGAACAGAUGUUGUAUUUAUCCUUAAUUAUCCUAAUAUAAAUGUAAAUUUCAAAUGAAUGAACUACAACCCCAGGCCCAUCAGAAUGAAAAAAAUUGAAAAAGUUAAAAAUGCUAAGAAUUUUUAAGUAUGUGAAACAACUGGAAUUCUCAGGUACUGAUGGUGAGACUGUAAAUUAAUACACUUUGAAAAAUAAUGUGACAUUAUUACAGCUGAAAAUAUGUGUCCUUAUGACUCAGCAAUUUUUCUUUUAAUCAUAUAUGCCAUUAAGCUGUGUAUACAUAAAAAUCAAGAGAUAUGUCCAAGAAUAUUCAUAAUAGCAUUUUUUCAAAAUAAAAUAUAAAGGCAAACCAAAUACCAUCAAUGAUAGAAUGGAAAAAUAAACUGUAGUACAUUUAUACCAUGCACAGCAAUGAAAAUGAACAAAUUACUAGUACACACAGCAUACAGGUAAUCUCUCAAACAUUACAUGGGGUAAAAGAAGCCAGAAACAAAGUAUGCACGGACACAAAGACUGCAUAAUUCCAUUUAAACAAAGUUCAGAAGCAGAUAAAACUAAACUGCUUAAAGAGACUGUAUUAGUCCAUUAUCAUACUGCUAUGAAGAAAUACCCAAGUAAUGAUAAUAUGUAAAGGAAAGGAGUUUCAAUGAACUAUGGACUCCCAGUGCCACAUGGCCAGGGAAGCCUCACAAUCGUGGUGGAAGGUGAAGAAGGAGCAAAGGCACUUGUUACAUGGCCACAGGCAAGAGAGUGUAUGCAGGGGAACUGCCCUUUAAAAAACCAUCAGAUCUCACGAGGCUUGCUCACUAUUACAAGAACAGCACAGGAAAAACCUACCCCCAUGAUUCAGUUAUCUCCCACUGUGUCCCUCCCACAACACAUGACGAUUAUGGGAACUACAAUUCAAGAUGAAAUUUGGGUGAGGACAUGGACAAACCAGAUCAGAGAAUAUAGAAAGCACAGUUAUUGGCUGCAGGUGCAACUGAGGAAAACAUUCAGGAUUGAGAAAAGAAAAGAAGGUGCAAAAUAG
rnacentral:lncRNA from 13 species